rnacentral:ncRNA from 1 species
CAAGCCUGGAAGGCCCCCAGCAGACCACUGGGUUGAUAGGCCGGACGUGGAAGCAGGGACCAACGACCUGCGAAGCCGACCGGUACUAAUAGGCCGACAGCCUCACACAC